AAACACGGAUAUUCCCUCUAAUAACAAACACUUUUAUUUAUUUUUUUUUUUUACUGUGAGGGCCAUGGAACAUUGGAACAGGUUGUACACAGAGGCUGUGGUCUCCAUACUGGGAGAUACCCAAAAACUCUCUGAAAAUGGUCCAGUGUUCAGACCAUUAGACAACAGGAUAAGAUUAACAGAAGAAGAAAGAAGACAGCUUUAAUCAGAACUUUGUGAAGUGUGCUAAUUAUCUUCAGGGAAUAAGAUGCCACAGUGAAAGACUGGUUUAAACUCCCUUUCCCGAGACUCUGGAGCUUGCAUUUGUUCUGAGUGAGCAGUGUAUUAGGGGAGCUCCUCUGGGAUUUGAUACAGCUACAUUUGAUAUUAUAAAGAAUUUAAAACUGGUAAUAAAUGUGUGCAUAUCUGUUCCUAAACAGCAGUUUGGAACAAUUUUAUAUGCACACCAUGUAUUAGCAGCCCCAGCAAGAAAGCUGAAGAAGCCAGCAGGAUGAGAGAAGCAUCCAAACAACUGCAAGCCUACAUGACUACUCCUUUGAUAGAUCCUCCUGCUCAUCCUCCCCAGAUUACAGCUGCUUUCAGCUUCCCCUUCAUCCAGCUGCAUUGCUGUUUUCUGGUGGUCUAUUGACUCUCACAGAUGCAAGGAAUGAAGUUUGACCUGAAUUCCCAUUUGGAUUUUUUCAGCUUUUAUAGCACUCUAGAUUAUGUGCCCAGUGGCAUCAAUUCCAUCCCCAGCCAUCCUGAAGAACGCCACCAGAAAUGAAGAACUUCGAAGUCUGAACUUCCAAGUGUCUCCCAAUGUUCCUCAGCAGUUCUCUCAGGUAGUGCUUAAAAGCCAAAGCCUGUGCUUUGAGCUGCUGGA